rnacentral:misc_RNA from 1 species
CUGUAUAAACCUUGCAACUGAAAAUGCUAAAUCUUCUGCAGGUCUAUAAGGAACUGCACCACCAAAUUCUGUGUACCUGUGGGGAAGAUAAAGCAAUGAACAAAUAAAAAGAUAAUUGGUCUUAGAAAAGAUCCCAAACUCCAAGAAAUAAAAGAAAACUAUGAAUUUUAGAUAAAAUCAAAUAAAAGAAUUAUGAGGACCAAUUUUACAACAAAUAAAGGCAAGUUUUAGCAUGUACUGUCAUCAGUUGUGCGACUUACCAGCCAGUCCAGUUUUCUGUCCACACUUUGGGUUUGUAAUCCUUGUUUGGUUUGAAAUUCUCACAGUAGAAUCCAUUACAGGUGUUGAUCUGAACGCCAUCAAAUAGACUUAGGUUUCAAUAAAUACAAAAGCCCCACUUCAACCCAUAUGAAUUAAAUCCUGACCCAUUUAAUCUUUUACCAGAAAAUCAAGCAAAUAUUUGAAGAAAUAUCUUCACUAUCAAGCUUAAAAACCUUACUAUCAAUCAACAAGGAGACAUACUCAUCAUUUCCAUUAUGAAAAAUCCAAAAACCCCAGAUUAUAUCAAACAAAAGACACAUAAGAGAUUGAUAGGACCCAUAAGGUUAAACUGCAAAAGGAAAGCAAUGCCAAAAGUGCGAGAAAAUAAAGCUCUAUGAUUCUUUAUUUAAGGGCCACCUAAAUAGACGGCAAAUUUAUUAUUAACCCCACCAUGAAAGGAGGGUCAUACUGAAUGUGAAACAUACCAAGAAUGCCUGUACGAAUAUGGCAUCAUCAAAGUGAAAGGAAAACGCUGAAAAUUUGACAAAGUCACUUACAACAGGAUCAGGGGCAUCGUCUUGCUUGCACAUAACCCAUGGGACCCCUGUACCAAGACCCACUGCCAUCUCAGCUGCCCAUUUAGUAUAAGCUUUACCAGGAGCACCAAUCUCCCACUCCACUGGUCCAAAUUCAUUUUCUAUCUGUUUACAAGCAAACGACAAGAAGAAAAUAAAAUACUCGAGCUAUUUUCAAUAAGUGAUUGGCCAAUUAAUCAAAAAUUAUGGAACCAAAAUAAACAUAUGAUUACAAGUUUAAAACCCAUUUCUAGAAUGAUGAUAACGACUGGCAUAGGCUAAUAUUUUCUAUUCAUUUCAGAAAAGGGUUUUUUUUUACUAUGUAAAAACCAAUUGAAUAGAAAAUGGAAUCAAAAUAAUAAAAAGCAAUCAAGAAAAAAAUAAUAAAAAAAAACUACGACCCAAUUCUAGAAACACAGUAAAUAAUGGAAUGGAGUAAUUUUUCCUGCCUGAGAAAGAAUUAUUGGACCUCCCUGAGUUUCAAACAACUUCUCUGACUUCAUCAUGCUGACAAUCUUCUCUGUGAACUUUUGCAUUGCCGCCUUCAUUGUAAGUAUCAAAAAUCAACGUUUAGCUAAAAUCGACAAAUUUCAUUAGUGAAAACGAAAAGUUCAGAGAAAAGGGUAAUCAAAAUAGCAAUGAAAAAUCCCAAGCACCAACCUUGAAAGGGCCGUUGUCAGUUCUAAAUUCAAUACCAGGAACAUAUUUUAGCCAAACAGGAAAUCCCCCAAAGUUCCACUCAGCGCAAACAUAGGGUCCUAUUCGAAGAUGAGCAUAAAGUCCUGCUUGUUGUAUCAGCUUGAUAAACUUGACCAGAUCAUACCUAUCCCCAAAAUAAUAAGUCCCAGGUGAAGGCUCAUGUCCAUUCCAGAAAACGUAUGUUUCUAUGACAUCCAAACCUCCAUCUUUGGCCUUCUGAAUAAGAUCUGGCCACAUCUCAGGAGUACUUCUUGGGUAAUGAAUAGAGCCUGAAAUAAGAAUUCUUCUCUGCCCAUUGAUGGUAAUUGCUUUAUGGUCAUAAGACACAGAAGCAGUAACAGAAGAAACCCAAGAAAAAAAAAACAGUAGCAGAAACAUAAACAAGCCGUCCUUUGACAUAGUCCUCCUCAAAGCAAUGGCCUUUUUUCUUUCUGUAUCUAAGCUGAAUGCUUUGCAUACAGAUGAAUAAAAGAAUAAGAGAGUGAUGGAGAAUUGGGUUUUCUAUACAAAGUUUGUUUUACUGAUUCUUUAAAGAAACAAAAAAGAAAGAAGCAGGCUUGGCAGAGUUUACACUGAAAGUCGGAUAACGUAAUGGAGUUGUGGAGUUAUUAUUUAUGGAUUAGUUAUACGUCCAAGUGCAGGGAGAACUGGGCAACUGCUUUUAUAACAACACUAGAAGAAUGAACAGUUAUGUGGGGUCCAUGUUCUUGGCUUGGUGGGCGGCUCAGCCUCAGUGACACGCAAGGCUACUUGAGGGUGAGGCUCUGGUGAGCUGAUUCCUUAUCAUCUUUCAUCUCUCUGGCUUUUUUGCUUAUUUACUUCAAGCAAAUGCCCACCAAAUAAUUGAAGCCAAG